rfam:Puccinia sorghi strain RO10H11247 Scaffold_3230, whole genome shotgun sequence.
AUGCACUGUUUGGCCUCAACUUCGAACGUCCCCCUCGCCUUUUACUAGGGAGACCCGGGGGUCAGGCAGCCAAUGCAUGCUUGCAAUCUUUCGUAACCAGCCAUGCCUGGGA